rnacentral:rRNA from 1 species
UGAGUACGAGAGGCUACGGCCUCGAAGCAGUCUAUGUCAUACUUCCAAGAAAAGCUUGCAAUGUCAUAAACAAAUAAUGCCUGUACCAUAACCGACACAGGUGGGUAGGUAGAGUAUACUAAGGGGCGCGAGAUAACUCUCUCUAAGGAACUCGGCAAAAUGACUCCGUAACUUCGGGAGAAGGAGUGCCUUAUUUAUAAGGUUGCAAUAACAAGAUCCAAGCAACUGUUUACCAAAAACACAGGUCUCCGCUAAGUUGUAAGACGAUGUAUGGGGGCUGACGCCUGCCCAGUGCCAGAAGGUUAAAGAAGUUGGUUAGCAUUAGCGAAGCUGAUAACUGAAGCCCUGGUGAACGGCGGCCGUAACAAUAACGGUCCUAAGGUAGCGAAAUUCCUUGUCGGGUAAGUUCCGACCCGCACGAAAGGCGUAAUGAUUUGGAUACUGUCUCGGAGAGAGGCUCGGUGAAAUAGACUUGUCUGUGAAGAUGCGGACUACCUGCACCUGGACAGAAAGACCCUAUGAAGCUUUACUGUAACUUGAAAUUGAAAUUGGACUUUAUUUGCGCAGUAUAGGUGGGAGGCGUUGAUAGUAUUCUUGCGGGAAUAUUGGAGCCAUCAGUGAGAUACCACUCUUGUAAUGUUAGAUUUCUAACUUUGGAUCAUUAUCUGGUCAAAGGACAGUUUCAGGCGGGCAGUUUGACUGGAGCGGUCGCCUCCCAAACGGUAACGGAGGCGUACAAAGGUUUCCUCUGAACGGAUAGAAAUCGUAUCUAGAGUGUAAAGGCAUAAGGAAGCUUGACUGUGAGACCUACAAGUCGAGCAGGGACGAAAGUCGGUCUUAGUGAUCUGACGGUGCUGAGUGGAAAGGCCGUCACUCAACGGAUAAAAGUUACUCUAGGAUAACAGGCUGAUCUCCCCCAAGAGUUCACAUCGACGGGGAGGUUUGGCACCUCGAUGUCGGCUCAUCGCAUCCUGGGGCGGUAGUACGUCCCAAGGGUUGGGCUGUUCGCCCAUGAAAGCGGUACGCGAGCUGGGUUCAGAACGUCGUGAGACAGUUCGGUCCAUAUCCGGUGUAGGCGUUAGAAUAUUGAGAGGAGCCUUCUUUAGUACGAGAGGACCGAGAAGGACGUACCUCUGGUGUACCAGUUAUCGUGCCAACGGUAAACGCUGGGUAGCUAUGUAUGGAGAGGAUAACCGCUGAAAGCAUCUAAGUGGGAAGCCCACCUCAAGAUAAGUA